rnacentral:sRNA from 1 species
CACUUUCAAAGAAACCCGCUUUUAAGCGGGUUUUUUUACGCCUGGAUUUUAUAAGAGGAUGAGAACCUCCGAAGGAGGUUUGAGCCGAGCGCAGCGAGACCACGUUGCUUUAGCAACGGCCCGUAGGGCAAGCAUCGCAGAUGCGUAUAAUCCUCUCUCGCCGACCA